UACGUAGGGGGCGAGCGUUGUCCGGAUUCAUUGGGCGUAAAGCGCGCGUAGGCGGCUUCGUAAGUCGGCCGUGAAAGCGCCGGGCUUAACUCGGCGAGGUCGGGCGAGACUGCGGAGCUGGAGGCGGGUAGAGGGCGGUGGAAUUCCGGGUGUAGUGGUGGAAUGCGUAGAGAUCCGGAGGAACACCAGUGGCGAAGGCGGCCGCCUGGGCCUGGCCUGACGCUGAGGCGCGAAAGCGUGGGGAGCAAUCCGG
rnacentral:rRNA from 1 species